CUAAAAACUAAAAUUGAAUGCUUUCAGAAUUUUACGUGAGUCAACAUUGAAAAAAGAAAUAAUUUUCACCAUAAGAGUAGAAGACCACAUUUUAGUCUGCAAAAACGCCAAUAUAUGGUUGCUGACAGUCCCAAUGGACUAUGAUUAAGAUUUUUUAGACGGCCCUGGAGGAAUUUUGAUUAGUUUUAAGGCAGUGUUUACAAAAACACUAUUCUAUAGAUUUUAUAUAUACAUAAAGGAUAACCACUUAAGCUCCAGUUAGAAGCACGAAUAUAGGAGCUGUACCCAUUAAAUUCUAAUAAAGGAGAAUUUGAUUAAUCCCUAUUUAGAGGUUACGAUCUGCCAUAAGAAUUUAUCAAGUGCAAUUCAUCCUUUUCCCUAUAUGUGUUACCCCUGAUGAAGUCGAUCAGACGAAACGCGUUGGGUUUGUCAGUCAGAAAAUCACACCCUAGUUUGUGAAGAUACUCCCUUUGAGCUCGCACCUUGAAAAAGGUGAGGGAGUAUCUAGAAUUCCAUCCUACAAACAUGUUGGUUGUGGCUGUGUUUUAUUGAUACAAUUUUAUAUCUUGAAUUGUG